UGCGCUAGGACCCGCCGCCGCCGGUCGCCGAGGGCUGGUAGGAAGGGAGGAGCGGGAGCGAAAGGGCCCCGGAGACUGGCGCCCGCCGGGGCGCAGCGCGGCAUGUAGCUGCGGGCUCCCGCGCGAGGGUGUCGGCCCGGCCCCGCCAUGGCUGGGACGGACAGCGGGAACCUGAAGACGGUAAGGCUGUGGCGGGACGCCGCCCUGCGCGCCAGGAAGCUGCGGAGCAACCUGCGCCAGCUCAGCCUCAGCGCGGCCGGGGGCUGCCCGGGGACCGACCAGCUCGACUCUCCCGACGCGCCCCAGCUCGUGCUGCCGGCCAACAUCGGGGACAUUGAGGUGCUGAACCUGGGCAACAACGGCCUGGAGGAGGUGCCCGACGGGCUGGGCUCGGCGCUGGGCAGCCUCCGCGUCCUGGUCCUGCGCCGGAACCGCUUCACUCGGCUGCCCCCGGCGGUGGCCGAGCUGGGCCAUCACCUCACCGAGCUGGACGUGAGCCACAACCGGCUGAGCGUCCUAAGCGCCGAGGUGGUGAGUGCCCUGCGCGAGCUGAGGAAGCUCAACCUCAGCCACAACCAGCUGCCCACCCUGCCCGCCCAGCUGGGCGCGCUGGUCCACCUGGAGGAGCUGGACGUCAGCUUUAACCGCCUGGCGCACCUGCCCGACUCCCUCUCUUGCCUCUCCCGCCUGCGCACUCUCGACGUGGACCACAACCAGCUCACGGCUUUUCCGUGGCAGCUGCUGCAGCUGGCGGCCCUGGAGGAGCUCGACGUGUCCAGCAACCGGCUGCGGGGCCUACCUGAGGAUAUCAGUGCCCUGCAUGCCCUCAAGAUCCUCUGGCUGAGCGGGACUGAGCUUGGCACCCUGCCCAGCGGCUUCUGCGAGCUGGCCAGCCUGGAGAGCCUCAUGCUGGACAACAACAGGCUGCAGGCUCUGCCCGCCCAGUUCAGCCGCCUGCAGAGACUCAAGAUGCUCAACCUCUCUUCCAACCUCUUGGAGGAGUUCCCUGCCGCGCUGCUGCCCCUGGCUGGUCUGGAGGAGCUCUACCUUAGUCGCAACCAGCUCACUUCCGUGCCGUCCCUGAUCUCGGGCCUGGGCCGUCUUCUCACCCUGUGGCUGGAUAAUAACCGGCUCCGCUACCUGCCUGACUCCAUCGUGGAGCUCACGGGCCUGGAGGAGCUGGUCCUGCAGGGGAACCAGAUCGCUGUGCUGCCAGACAACUUUGGCCGGCUCUCCCGGGUGGGCCUGUGGAAGAUCAGGGACAACCCGCUGAUCCAGCCCCCCUACGAGGUCUGUAUGAAGGGGAUCCCCUACAUCGCAGCUUACCAGAAGGAGCUGGCUCAUUCCCAGCCGGCGGUCCAGCCCCGCCUCAAGCUGCUCCUGAUGGGCCAUAAAGCUGCAGGAAAGACCCUGCUCCGUCACUGCCUCACCGAGGACAGAGUGGAGGGGAACCAAGGAGGAGGGGACACGGAGAAGGGCCACCCGCCUUCACCUCCUCCCGUGAGCAAGGGCAUCGAGGUGACCAGCUGGACAGCGGAUGCCUCCCGGGGCCUGCGGUUCAUCGUGUAUGACUUAGCCGGGGAUGACAGUUAUGAGGUGAUCCAGCCCUUCUUCCUCUCCCCGGGGGCUCUUUAUGUGCUGGUGGUGAACUUGGCCACCUAUGAGCCGCUCCGCUUUCCCACCACCGUGGGCUCCUUCUUGCAUCGGGUCGGGGCCCGCGUGCCUCACGCCGUGGUGUGCGUUGUGGGCACGCACGCCGACCUCUGCGGGGAGCAGGAGCUGGAGGAGAAGUGUCUGGACAUCCACCGCCAGAUCGCCCUGCAGGAGAAGCGUGACGCCGAGGGGCUGAGCCGUCUGGCCCAGGUGGUGGAUGAGGCGCUGGCCCGGGACUUUGAGCUCCGCUCCGCCAGCCCCCACGCAGCCUACUACGGUGUGUCCGACAAGAACCUUCGGCGGCGCAAGGCCCACUUUCAGUACCUGCUCAACCACCGGCUGCAGAUCCUCUCCCCUGUGCUGCCCGUGAGCUGCAGGGACCCACGCCAGUUACAGCGCCUGCGGGACAAACUGCUCUCAGUGGCCGAGCACCGGGAAAUCUUCCCCAACCUCCACAGAGUACUGCCUCGGUCCUGGCAGGUGCUGGAGGAGCUGCACUUCCAGCCCCCUCAGGCGCAGCGGCUCUGGCUCAGCUGGUGGGACUCGGCUCGCCUGGGCCUGCAGGCCGGCCUGACCGAGGACCGGCUGCAGAGCGCCCUCUCCUACCUGCACGAGAGCGGCAAGCUGCUCUACUUUGAGGACAGCCCGGCCCUCAAGGAGCACGUCUUCCACAACCUCUCCCGCCUCAUCGACAUCCUCAACGUCUUCUUCCAGAGGGAUCCUUCCUUGCUGCUGCAUAAGCUGCUCCUGGGGACCAGCGGCGAGGGCGAGGCUGAGAGCCGGGGUGAAAGCUCCCCGCUGAUGGCGCCGCCCGCCCCAACCCAGGAUGCGCUCCGGGCCACCCAGCUCCAUCAUUACGUGGAGGGCUUUCUGCUGCAUGGGCUCCUGCCGGCCCACGUCAUCCGGCUGCUGCUGAAGCCUCACAUCCAGGCUCAGCAGGACCUGCAGCUCCUGCUGGAGCUGCUGGAGAAGAUGGGACUCUGUUACUGCCUCAACAAAGCCAAGGGCAAGCCUCUGAAUGGGUCCACGGCCUGGUACAAGUUCCCGUGCUAUGUGCAGAACGAGGUGCCCCACGCGGAGGCCUGGAUUAACGGGACCAACCUGGCCGGGCAGUCCUUUGUGGCUGAGCAGUUGCAGAUUGAAUACAGUUUUCCCUUCACCUUUCCACCCAGCUUGUUUGCACGCUACAGCGUCCAGAUCAACAGCCAUGUGGUGCACAGGUCGGAUGGCAAACUUCAGAUCUUUGCAUACAGAGGGAAAGUCCCUGUGGUGGUGAGUUACAGACCUGCCAAGGGGGUCCUGCAGCCGGACACCCUGUCCAUUGCCAGCCACGCAUCCUUACCAAACAUAUGGACGGCAUGGCAAGCCAUAACCCCCUUAGUAGAGGAACUGAAUGUCCUACUUCAGGAAUGGCCUGGACUGCACUACACCGUGCACAUUCUCUGUUCUAAGUGCCUUAAGAGAGGGUCACCCAAUCCACACGCUUUCCCAGGAGAGAUGUGUUCUGGAGUAAAGAAGCAGUCCCCACUUUGGGGGGACAGGUAUCAGAGGGUGGCAGCAAAAGGGGAGUUGCUGAGUCAGCCCAGACCAGAAGGCGUGGCAGAGAUCAUUUGCCCCAAGAACGGCAGCGAGCGAGUGAACGUUGCCUUGGUUUACCCACCCACACCGACUGUGAUCAGCCCAUGUUCCAAGUAUCUCCAUACUUUCUUGGACAAUUAAGUGGAAAAGAUAGUGCUUCUUUCCCUUAUGCCAUCAUUUUUACUGUACCCAAUCUGUGACUUUAGGAGCACCAAUUUUUAAGGGAAGAACGUUGGUGAAAAGCACAGAAACCAGUGACUUUUAUGGCUGUGGAAUUUCCAUGGAGAAAAGAGUAUCAGAACGCACCUGGACCAUCUUUUGUACCCGGCAAACCCUCCACACUCCCUGGCGUGUUCUGUGAAUUUGAGUGCAUGUGUGUUCGGGGUGCUUUCAGGGAGGAAGCACACCUAGCCUGUAGACAAGGUGGGGAGAGGUGGGGUGGGGGAGGGGGGAAGGAUGGGAGAGAAUGUGGAGCAAAUGUUUUACAACCUGAACCUCAGAACUGUGAUCCUCCAAGGAGAGCGCUACUUGAAGAAAAAAAAAAAAAAAAAAAAAAAGUCGAAUGGCUUCUCAGGGAUUUUGUUUUCCAUGCACAUAUAAGCCAUAAUUCCAGUACAGGUGGCAGUAUUUAGAGCACUCAGAUUUCAUUUCUGUUAAAUGUGAAAGAGGGAUAGACUGACCAUUCAUUACUGUUCCAUAACUAGUGUAAAAUAUGUAUAUGUUUAUCUUUAUUUUUAUAAUAUGCAAAUACAUUUAAAUUUAUACAGUUUGAAGCUUCUAGAGUUAGUUAACACUGGGUGCAAUAUUCUGAUGAGAACUGUGCCAAGAUGGGGCUGAUUUCUUAUUUUAGCCUAGGACCUUUUGUUUAUUCUUUAAUUCUUUGCAGAUUAAAAAAAAGAUACCUGUCUCUCUGCCCAUGGAUUAAGGGUUGGUUCAUAGAGCUUGAAGAUAAUCAGCAAGAACUUUAAACAUGCAUUUCAGGUCCAGGCAGUGUCCGUCCUUUUAAAUAAAGGUCCCUGCCUGUAAACUGUUGGGCCAGGUAGGAGGAUUUUUCCUUUUCUUUGCCCCCACGUAUCACUAGUGUUGGGCAGAGUCUUCCUGGCUCCAGGCUUUGUGAGGACUGUGAGUUGUUACUGGUGAUAGUCUGAUGGAGGC